AUGCUGACAGUUAACCAGGGAUUGGAGCCUGCUAGUACUGUUGGAUCCAACUAGGUGAAGCACUACGUAGCAACUCCCAUAGGGUGCUUUUCAGUCUAUUGAGGUGUCAUCGAGUGUUCCCCAUCUCUCUUCCUUCAGAUUGAGGUUGGCCUAUUUUAUGGAUGUCAGUAUCUUUUUGGCAGGAACUUGAGCUACAUAAUGUCUCAACAUUUGGAGAUUCAGCACAAGGUGGGAAUCUCCCAGACCAUGAUCUGUGUUGGCAAGCAGCUGAGGAUGACAGCAUCCCUGUGGAGUAGAAUGACCACCCUUCAUCUCCAUGAUGGAAUGUGAUUUUUUUGAGGAUAUACAUUGUAUAUGAAGUGGAGAGAUUGAUACAAUCCACAGAGGAAAGAAUAUCUCAUAUAUGCC
rnacentral:lncRNA from 1 species